ACUCAAAUGAAUUGACGGGGGCCCGCACAAGCGGUGGAGCAUGUGGUUUAAUUCGACGCAACGCGAAGAACCUUACCGAGGCUUGACAUCCCUUGAAAGCCGUAGAAAUACGGGGUCCGUAGCAAUACGGCAAGGUGACAGGUGCUGCAUGGCUGUCGUCAGCUCGUGCCGUGAGGUGUUGGGUUAAGUCCCGCAACGAGCGCAACCCUCGUCGUGUGUUGGUCCGCGAGGAUCUCUCACGCGAGACCGCCGGUGAGAAGCCGGAGGAAGGUGGGGAUGACGUCAAGUCAGCAUGGCCCUUACGUCUCGGGCCACACACGUGCUACAAUGGGUGCGACAACGAGUUCCGAGCUCGCGAGGGUUAGGCAAUCUCUCAAACGCACCCUCAGUUCGGAUUGAAGGCUGCAACUCGCCUUCAUGAAGUCGGAAUCGCUAGUAAACGCAGAUCAGCUACGCUGCGUUGAAUACGUUCCCGGGCCUUGUACACACCGCCCGU
rnacentral:rRNA from 1 species